AAAUUGCGGACUAUUUUC
rnacentral:miRNA from 1 species